AUUAUUUCAUACCUGUGAUGGUUUAUUUUUGAAGGAAUGGUCUCAACUCCUAUCAACACAACAGUUAUAUCCAUGCAACCCCCGCCCUUCGAAGACCUCUUUAUAAACAAAAGUGCAGCUCUGAUAUGUACGGCACCUCUUGCUGAUACAAUGAUGAAUUGGACAGUCAGUUGGAUUAUGGAUGGAAAACCUGCCAACACACAAGCUGUGACCACGAAAGUCUUGAAUACAUCCACCAACACUUCCUGCCUCUAUAGUCAGUUGUUGGUGAACCUGACUGAAUGGAAAGCCACCGUAAAGUUCACCUGUACCAUUUACAGUGGAUUAGGAGAAGCUAAACAGCUCUACGAGCGAAGGAACGGCACCAUGAAGCACCCCAAAGUCUACCUCCAGCACCAGUCCUCCAAAGAAGACCUAAAUGUAAACUUGCUCUGUAUAGCCACAGAUUUCUACCCCGGAGAAGUUUUUGUACAAUGGCAGAAGGAGAACACAGAGAUGUCACUGAAGGGCCACGAGCCCCAUGACUUGAAAUGUGACCACGAAAGAGAAAGAUGCACUUUCCUGAGCAUUCUCGAGGUCCCCAGAAACCAAUGGACGAUGGGAGCUUCCUACACCUGCCUUGUAGCUCAUGUCUCCUCUGCAAACUUCAUAGUUAGAAGAGUCAGUUCUCAUUCUGAUUCCUGGGACUGGGCCGUCACAAGUACUGAAGUUUGUGUCAUCUGCAAUGAAACAGAAGAUGACUACAGUGAACUAAUUGAGAUGGAUGGUGCCUGGAACAGGGUCUCUACUUACCUGAUCCUGUUUCUUCUUGCACUCUUCUAUGGGGGCCUUGUCACUUUCUUCAAGGUGAAAUAGGCAUCAUGGUCUACUUGCAAUGAAGUAUGAGCCAAGCUUUCCUCUGCAUUAUAAACCUCUCAGAGUUACUCCAUUCUAAUAUUAUCUACUACAACUUUCAGUGCCUGUGCAAUACGACGAAGUAUUCAAGAUGGAAAGCAUUAACUUGAGUGUUGUUUAAUCCUUUGGCAACUUUUGCAAUCAUUUAUGUACAUGAUUUUGCUUCGUAUGCAGAAGACAGUCCGCUAACCACUGAAGAAGACAACAUUAAAUUAUCUUGCAGUGAAAGCAGAAAUAUCGAACUGCAGAUGUGAAUAGUGAAGAGCAAGCCUGCCAGAUCCAGAGAAGAAAGUGUGGUACACAAAACACCUAUAAGUGAAAGAUUCCUCUGUACAUCCAAAGGCUUGAGGGGAAAUCAGAAAAUUGGUAUAAACCACUCCAGCAAACAGUUGACAAGCUCAAAAGUCUGGACUAAAUUUCUGUUGAAUCUAGUUAUGAACUGUAUAUUUGAAAAACCCUUAAUCCCUCUGCAGCAGCAGCAAUAUUGGAAGGUCCUGAAAAGAUGAUGUGUUGAAAUAUUUUGACAAGAGUAGCAUAGAAAGCCUGGGGAAAAAAUGAUGCCUUCAAACUCACGGAUAACAUUUGAUUUCGAUUUAAAUAACAUUUGAUUUAUAUACUGCCUGUCAGGACAACUUAACACCCACUCAGAGUGGUUUACAAAGUGUGUUAUUAUUAUCCUCACGACAAUCACCUUGUGAGGUGGGCAGGGCUGAGAGAGCUCUGGAUGAGCUGGUCAGAUGGGGAAUCAAACCUGGCUCUCCAGAUUAGAGUCCUGCCACUUUUAACCACUACACCAAGUUGGCUCAGGCAGCAAGAAAGUGCAGCUGCUGUGAACAUAAGAAAAGCCCAUAAGACCAGUAGUCUAUUUAUCCCAGCAUUCUGUCUCAUGCAGUGGCCAAUUGGUUACUCGGACAGCCAACAAGGAGGCAUAGGAACCAAGGCUUUCCCCUAAUGUUGUCUCCUGGCACUGGUAUGUGAGAGGUUUAUGGCUUCUGGAAGUUCCCUUCAGUCCCCAUGACUAGUGGCUGAUAGACAUGGGUUUGCCCAUUUCUCCCUGAACUCUUUGGUCUGCACUUCUCCCUCACCUGCAGUAGCAAACAUGACUCAAUGUUUCCUCACCUGGGGGCGGGGGAAGGCUGUGCUGAAAACUGCUGAGAAAACUGACACAACAAAAGGGAAAAUGGAACCGUACGUAUAAAAAGAGUCCACCUAGGGAUAGGUACCCUCCUGACCAGCAGGCAGGGUGUGAACUUAGCUGAAAGGUGGUCAAGCGUCCAUUGUUCUAUCACCUCAGGCCCCUCUUGAGCACCAACCCUUCUCAAGCCCUGUUGAUUUUGGCUGGAUAAAGUCAAGCAGGGGCUAGUCUGUCUACAUGAGACAUCUGACACGUGAAGAACAUGUGUCGGGAGAUGCAAUGUUAGCUGGGAAGGGAAGUUUUAAAAGACAAAGCCGGUGGCAGGCCAAAGGCUUUGCUAUACACUGGAGCUGUGUGAAGGAGCUGUGAAAUGACAGAAGAGACAUUUCAGCCCAUUAUAACCGCUCCAAGUCCAAGCCUGGCUCUGGAAGGCAGCUCCAUCCCAUUUCCAUUCCUCGCUGCCCUCUGGUUGCAAUCCCAAACAGUUUUAAACUGGAGAGGUGAAAUUGACAGAGCCUUUAGGGAGGCGAAGGUGAAAUUAACAAACACUUUGAGGAGUGAUCUCCGCCAGCUCUGUCUUUUUAAAUUAUGCUUCCUGGAUAACAUUGCGUCUCCCUACACUUGAACAUGCACUGAGGCGUCUCAUGUGCAGAGACUUUCAGAAUCAAAUUAGAGAGAGAUUAAAAAUGCUCUUUCCUUCCUGGACUGGACCCUGUCCGCCUGCAUCAUGAUGCAUGACACUGGUUCUCAUUGCUCUGUGCUGUGCUGAAUUACGUUUCAAAGUUGCACUGUUUCUAUUUUCAAGACGUGUGUUAAAACUUUAUAGUAUCCUAUUAGCAUUACAGUGUGCUCUCUUGCUGCUUUUUGGUUCAGUACAGAAUGACUGUUCUUAUAAAAAUUUCAAUAGCCACAAAGAUGUGGUGCUUGUUCAGUGACCAAGGAACUUGGGCGUAUUUGUCCUGAUGUAGCGCAUCUGAGCAUUCAGGUUAAUUGUUUAAUUGUAUUGUACAUAGCACAGACCUUUUAUAACAUGAAUGUUGAUCACACUGCAUUCAGACUGUUAUCCUGCCCUGCUUGUUGUCAUACCAUUUUUACUAUGUAUAAACAGCAGGAUUUGAGCCCAAUGGCUCUUUAGAGACCAAGAUUUUCAGGGAAUAAACUACUGAAAGUCAAAGCUCCCUUCUUCUGAUACUCUCAAAAGCUAAUACCCUGAAAAUCUUGUUGGUCUCUAAGAUGCCACUGGACUCAAAUCUUGCUGAUUUACUGCAGACCAACAUGGCUACCUACUUGAAAUUAUGUAUAACCAUAUUAAACUUGGACUUAGUUGCUUUCUAUUUGGCUGUAUUGAUUGAAUCUAUGAACCGCUUGGAUGCAUUCUUUAAUUUGUCGGUUUUAUUCUGCGCUCCCAUUCAAUCUGAUAUCCUUGUAUCCCUCUUGCCCUCCAUUACAUUACUUUUGACUCCAUUUUGAUGAAACUGCUGCUGCUGCUCAAUAAAGCCUUUUUUGCUUCUUA